UACGUAGGGUGCGAGCGUUACUCGGAAUUACUGGGCGUAAAGCGUUCGCAGGCGGUUCGUUAUGUCCGAUGUGAAAGCCCCGAGCUCAACUUGGGAAUGGCAUUGGAAACUGGCGGGCUGGAGUGUGGCAGAGGGGGGUGGAAUUCCACGUGUAGCAGUGAAAUGCGUAGAGAUGUGGAGGAACACCGAUGGCGAAGGCAGCCCCCUGGGCCAACACUGACGCUCAGGCACGAAAGCGUGGGGAGCAAACAGG
rnacentral:rRNA from 1 species